rnacentral:rRNA from 1 species
AAAGCUCAAAUUUGAAAUCUGGCACUUUCAGUGUCCGAGUUGUAAUUUGAAGAAGGUAUCUUUGGGUCUGGCUCUUGUCUAUGUUUCUUGGAACAGAACGUCACAGAGGGUGAGAAUCCCGUGCGAUGAGAUGUCCCAGACCUAUGUAAAGUUCCUUCGAAGAGUCGAGUUGUUUGGGAAUGCAGCUCUAAGUGGGUGGUAAAUUCCAUCUAAAGCUAAAUAUUGGCGAGAGACCGAUAGCGAACAAGUACAGUGAUGGAAAGAUGAAAAGAACUUUGAAAAGAGAGUGAAAAAGUACGUGAAAUUGUUGAAAGGGAAGGGCUUGAGAUCAGACUUGGUAUUUUGUAUGUUACUCUCUCGGGGGUGGCCUCUACAGUUUACCGGGCCAGCAUCAGUUUGAGCGGUAGGAUAAGUGCAAAGAAAUGUGGCACUGCUUCGGUAGUGUGUUAUAGUCUUUGUCGAUACUGCCAGCUUAGACUGAGGACUGCGGCUUCGGCCUAGGAUGUUGGCAUAAUGAUCUUAAGUCGACC